UUGGUAUUUCUCCAUUCGAGCUGGUCAGACGGGCCGCGUCGCGGUCGACCCUCCCUCCUCCCCCUCCCCUUUCCCAUUCAUCCGCCCCCCUCAUUACAUGUUAU